ensembl:lncRNA
UUAACUUUGGAUGUUGGGUAUUUUAUCUCAGCAACAAGAAAAGUCACUGAGACAUUCAUCUUUCAUUUGAUUCAUUUCACCAGUGGCUUCAGCAGUUUUAAAGGUGCCAUAAUCUCUCAUCUGGAUUCCAGAGCUCUUGUAAAGUCAUUUUCCAGUGUUAUGGUUGUUCCAGUUGAUAUUUCUGCGAGGAUGAACUUCAGUUUAUCAUUUAUCGGAACAAAAAAUCUAUAAUUUAUUCUUGUGCCUAGAAAAUCAAGCUGUCUGUGACUCGGCGGUCUAUGCUGGAGAGUAAGAGCCAAAGUAUGAGUGAGUUCUCAGGAGGCAAGGGAUAUAAAUCUGUUUUAAGUCUUUCAUGGUGACCUAUAAAUCUCUUAUUUCAUUGAGUGCAAAGAAGAUAAGAAUUACAGGAAAAAUUCAGGGUGAAGACUUCCAAACAGGAUGCAGCAAGAAAAGGUUUAUUAGAAGAACUGCUCCAUGGUGAUGCUUUCAGUAAUUGUUUAUUAGCUCAGAUUUGCUUUCUGAAGAUUAAAUGAAUCCUACAUGGAAGAGUCUAUUGCUGCUUUGACUCCCUGGAAUCACUUAUAAUUUACUACAAAAGAUAUUGGUCUCUGUCUCUGCUUUUAUGGAGACUCCAAACAAGAUGGUUCCUACCAAAAUGGUCCAGAAGCCCACUGUUACAGUAAAAUCUUGAAUUUGGACAACUUGCAGUCUGAAAGCCAAAGGACUACACUACUGGU